rnacentral:tRNA from 5 species
AAGAAAGUGACAGAGUGGUAAUGUGGCUGGCUUGAAACCAGCAUAUGGGGGUUCAAUUCCUUCCUUUCUUG